UAUGAUGUGGACAUUUUUUGAUCUUUCAGCGAUUUCUCGUAAUUUCUGUAAUUAAUUUAUUUAAAAUUAAUAAUUGCUCAUUGUAAUAAGUUGUGUGGUUCAAAAAUAUGAGUUUUUUAAAAUGUCUAAAUUGUUUCAAUGAAACAAUAGACAGUGAAUCAAAUAUUAAUAAAAUAAUUGAAGUGCAGUGCAGAAAUAGAGGUUAUUUUUCAUGACGUUUUUCGGACAAUUGUAAAUAAGAAAUUUAAAAAAAAAACUGUGCUUUCUUCAUAACAAACCUACAUAGAUUCUGGAAUAUAAUAAUUUGGUAGUGAUAUUCUUCAUUUGUCGACAAUAACCUCAAAUUAUGGACAUUUAAAGUUUCUUUAUGGAUACUGAAGUUAGCAGACGCCUAAUAAUUUUUGGAUUUUUUUACAAAUGAUAAAUUAUAGAAAAAAAGUAUUCGAAAAAAUUGCACCUAUGGUUUUUUUAAAUUUUCUACAUGUGCGUAUUUUGAAUACAAAGAAAUGAGUUAUUUAUUCAAAAGGAAAAAAUUAUAAUACUUUUGGAAUCUGAUGUAAUAUUAUAACUUAUAAAGUUAAAAUAAUUAAUACUAAAUUUUAUAUACACCAAAAAAAUAUAUUUGAAAAAA